CCUGCNGUCGACGAUUCCUACGGGAGGCAGCAGUGGGGAAUAUUGCGCAAUGGGCGAAAGCCUGACGCAGCAACGCCGCGUGCGGGAUGACGGCCUUCGGGUUGUAAACCGCUUUCAGCAGGGACGAAGUGAAAAUGACGGUACCUGCAGAAGAAGCACCGGCUAACUACGUGCCAGCAGCCGCGGUGAUACGUAGGGUGCGAGCGUUGUCCGGAAUUAUUGGGCGUAAAGAGCUUGUAGGCGGUCUGUUGCGUCGGAAGUGAAAACUCAGGGCUUAACCCUGAGCCUGCUUUCGAUACGGGCAGACUUGAGGGAUGUAGGGGAGAACGGAAUUCCUGGUGGAGCGGUGGAAUGCGCAGAUAUCAGGAGGAACACCAGUGGCGAAGGCGGUUCUCUGGACAUUUCCUGACGCUGAGAAGCGAAAGCGUGGGGAGCAAACAGGCUUAGAUACCCUGGUAGUCCACGCCGUAAACGGUGGGCACUAGGUGUGGGACCCAUUCCACGGGUUCCGUGCCGUAGCUAACGCAUUAAGUGCCCCGCCUGGGGAGUACGGCCGCAAGGCUAAAACUCAAAGGAAUUGACGG
rnacentral:rRNA from 1 species